AGGAUUCGUGAAAACUCCUUGGGCUGUGAUUAAAAAACAGAAUAACAGCAUUGACAAUACUUGUUUCGGUUCAAUCGCUGCUGAUAAGUAUUUCCUGGAUGUCAAAAUUUCUGAUUAUGCUCCUGACUUUAUUUGUGAAUUCACAAAGGGACAACAUGUUCAGUGCUUGGGCUCUGUUAUCAGAAAUGGAAACUGCUACUUUUUCUGCGUUCAGGCCCCUUCUUGCAUAACUCUAGUUGAUUCGCAAGUAACUACUCUCAAAUAUCUUCUUCUAUGCAAGCCAUUGAUGACAUUGCAGGAAGAGAGUAAUACUGCUAGUGCCAAUUCAUCGAAAAAACUGAAGAUAGCACAAAAGCAUUAAUGAACAUUAAAAAAAAAAGAUUGAAAUACCUCUCUCAUCUCCCCUGGUUUAACUGAUUGAGUCUACGAUUGUUUCAACUGAAUAAUUAAUUAUUUAUUAACUGCCAAAAACUCUAAAA